GGAUCCCACCGUUACUACUAAAUCGUAUGAUCUCCAGAUAUGCAACUGCAAGUAGAUACGUUGACUUGACACCCGAAAUUGUGCUCAUUGCUGAAACUUCCAUGCGCCCUCCUAAAGCAGCACAAAGAGCAGUUCUUUGGCUAAUGGCAGCUUUCUCAUUGCCACUACCACGACGACUACCUGGGUUAUGAAGAGCAUUAAGUUCCAACUCAUCUUCAAGCCAUUUCACGGAGCUCACAACUAGUGGUGGGGUUCCUUGAGAAAUGCGUUGGACAGCGGAGGACCAAUCAGCACUCCACAUGUAUGGACCACUCACUGCUUGAAGUGCAAUUGCUCCCAUGCUGCCAACGCUGUUUAGUGUAGUCGAUACUGACUUUGUCAUGGUAUGAUGGCUCUGUAAUGGAGGAGCUAACCCAAAGAGAGCAAUAUAGAACCACAAGUUUCGAAACAACUUCAAGAGUGAAGGUUCAACAUCUACAGUAGGAUCAAAAUCUGAACAUAUUUCAGCCACGGCAGGAAGGAGAGGCCCAAGAAAAUCAGCUCCACUCUUUCCACUUUUUGACUCUGCAGCUAAGCCCACAUCUGAGCACAGGGAUAGCAAGCGCUGACGGUAGUCUGUACGCAACUUAGGAGUAGUCAAGUGUCUGGCAAUCAGAAGAAAUCCCGCUGGAAGUGUCUCAACGCGUUCUGUUGUGGCCUCUGGAGCUGCGGUGUUACUUUCAGCUGAGCCAACAGCAGCAAGCUUACUUAAGUAACUCCUUGUCAUCAGAACA
rnacentral:misc_RNA from 1 species